rnacentral:lncRNA from 1 species
GUGAGUAUAACAGAACUCAUAUGGCAGGCCAAAACCUGAGAAGAUUCCAUACAGGAAGUGCCCUGUCUGACCAUUUCUUGCCCUUCUAUAGCCUCUUUAUCGAAAAUAGAGGAUCUCUGCUGUAACAUGACAUUUUCUAAGGCUCCCAUAGGCUCUCAGAAGGUGCCAGAACGGGGAAUGAUGACUCUGCAGUCCCUGGGCGAAAAACAGUAGGGCUUUUGGAAAGUGGUCGUUCUGAGAACAAUGACACAGGCGUGCGCGUGCCAGUGAAGACUCCAUUUUCUAUUUUCAGUGUUUGAACGAAAACAAGGUCUCCCGGUCGGAAUAUUAUCGCUAUUUUACGAGAAAAAUCGCAUAAAAAUUGAUUUUAAACAGCGUUUGACAUGCUUCGAAGUACGGUAAUGGAAUAUUUUGAUUUUUUUUGUCACGAUACGUGCCGGCGCGUCACCCUUCGGAUAGUGUCUUGAACGCAAGAACAAAACGCAGCUAUUUGGAUAUAACUAUGGAUUAUUUGGAACCAAAACAACAUUGGGUGUUGAAGUAGAAGUCCUGGGAGUGCAUUCUGACAAAGAACAGCAAAGGACAGGGAUGCUCCAUAGUACUUCACUGGUCUGCGGAGUCCAGGGGUUUCGUUGUAGCACAAAGCUAUGGUAGAGGCCUCCAGAGUGUAGUAGUUUGUGUAAUUACUUUCGCCUUUUAUUCUGGGGGGCAAGUCCAAUGCAUUCAGGAAAUGUAGAAGAAAGCUUUUUAUUCCCUCUUCCUCUUCACAUCGACAAAUCCUGACAGCCUGAAAAACAAAGAAGUGAAACAUGCAAUAUUCAACAAAUUAUAAGCUACAUGGACAAUACAUGUUUUAUAUGUGUUUUAUUGUCAUUGUUUAGUGUUAAUUUUGUUGAUGUGGAAAUUGGUCGAGGACAAAAGCUUCAGGUUAAAUACAUUCCAUUUACACACUUACCAAAGUCAGAAGAUUGGAAAAUGGAGUCUGGUGGGGUGGAUACUUGUAAUUGUGGAAUGCCUGUGGAAAUCUUCUUUCUAAAUCGUACAUCACAAGCCUACCCUCACGAGACUCAAAGAAGGCAUUUGGAAGAAGACUGGCCUGAUGAAUGUGACCUAAGAAAAAGAUGCUAUGAAGCAACUUUUAACAAACAUGAAUAAUGAAUAACAUAAUUAACAAACAAUGUAUAACAUAACAAGAUCAAUUAAUAAUUGUUUGUUCUAGAAACAAUUCAUUUGUAACAUGUAUAGUAAACCAAAAAUAUGCUAAAUGUGUGGGAAUGUAUUUUAAGCAUAUGAUUAGUGUAUUUAAUUAGGCGAUGUGUACCAUAUUCACGUAAUGUUGUAUUCCGUCAACUCCCAUCCUCAGGCGACUCCUCCAAAGCCUUACAACCUGUCUAAUAAAUGCUGUUCCUGAUGACUUUAAGCUUCCAUCAUUUCUUUUCCUCCAUUCCAGACAAGUAGCUGUUGGUCUCCUAAAAAGUGGUAUUGUAAAGUUUAAUAAAGAUCACGCACAGUAAGUAAUGAUUUUUAAAAAUGCUGUUCAAACCCAAUUCAAG